UACUGUACGAGUGAACACUAAAAGUGUACAUUUGAAAACAAAUGAGGACGGUGGGGGGGGGGGGCAUUACAAAGUGUACAUAAUGAGUAAUGAAAAGCAAUAUGACUGUAUUGCCAUCCAGACUAGAGACAACAUUCAGGUAUUCAUUGGUCCAAGGAACACAGAACCAAAGAACACAGAACCAAGGAACACAGAACCAAGGAACACAGAA